rnacentral:pre_miRNA from 1 species
AGAGGAGUUGCCCAGGAAUCUUGUUAAAAUGCAGAUUCUGAUUCAGUAAAGUCUGGAGUGGGGCCAAGAUCCUGCAUUUCUAAUAAGCUCCUGGGUGGUUAAAAU